rnacentral:rRNA from 1 species
UUAAGCGACUAAGCGUACACGGUGGAUGCCUAGGCAGUCAGAGGCGAUGAAGGGCGUGCUAAUCUGCGAAAAGCGUCGGUAAGGUGAUAUGAACCGUUAUAACCGACGAUACCCGAAUGGGGAAACCCAGUGCAAUUCGUUGCACUAUUGCAUGGUGAAUACAUAGCCAUGCAAGGCGAACCGGGGGAACUGAAACAUCUAAGUACCCCGAGGAAAAGAAAUCAACCGAGAUUCCCCCAGUAGCGGCGAGCGAACGGGGAGGAGCCCAGAACCUGAAUCAGCAUAUGUGUUAGUGGAAGCGUCUGGAAAGUCGCACGGUACAGGGUGAUAGUCCCGUACACAAAAAUGCAUAUGUUGUGAGUUCGAUGAGUAGGGCGGGACACGUGACAUCCUGUCUGAAUAUGGGGGGACCAUCCUCCAAGGCUAAAUACUCCUGACUGACCGAUAGUGAACCAGUACCGUGAGGGAAAGGCGAAAAGAACCCCGGCGAGGGGAGUGAAAUAGAACCUGAAACCGUGUACGUACAAGCAGUGGGAGCACCUUCGUGGUGUGACUGCGUACCUUUUGUAUAAUGGGUCAGCGACUUAUAUUUUGUAGCAAGGUUAACCGAAUAGGGGAGCCGUAGGGAAACCGAGUCUUAACUGGGCGAAUAGUUGCAAGGUAUAGACCCGAAACCCGGUGAUCUAGCCAUGGGCAGGUUGAAGGUUGGGUAACACUAACUGGAGGACCGAACCGACUAAUGUUGAAAAAUUAGCGGAUGACUUGUGGCUGGGGGUGAAAGGCCAAUCAAACCGGGAGAUAGCUGGUUCUCCCCGAAAGCUAUUUAGGUAGCGCCUCGUGAACUCAUCUUCGGGGGUAGAGCACUGUUUCGGCUAGGGGGUCAUCCCGACUUACCAAACCGAUGCAAACUCCGAAUACCGAAGAAUGUUAUCACGGGAGACACACGGCGGGUGCUAACGUCCGUCGUGAAGAGGGAAACAACCCAGACCGCCAGCUAAGGUCCCAAAGUCAUGGUUAAGUGGGAAACGAUGUGGGAAGGCAUAGACAGCCAGGAUGUUGGCUUAGAAGCAGCCAUCAUUUAAAGAAAGCGUAAUAGCUCACUGGUCGAGUCGGCCUGCGCGGAAGAUGUAACGGGGCUAAACCAUGCACCGAAGCUGCGGCAGCGACACUUAGGUGUUGUUGGGUAGGGGAGCGUUCUGUAAGCCGUUGAAGGUGACCUGUGAGGGUUGCUGGAGGUAUCAGAAGUGCGAAUGCUGACAUAAGUAACGAUAAUGCGGGUGAAAAACCCGCACGCCGGAAGACCAAGGGUUCCUGUCCAACGUUAAUCGGGGCAGGGUGAGUCGACCCCUAAGGCGAGGCUGAAAAGCGUAGUCGAUGGGAAACAGGUUAAUAUUCCUGUACUUGGUGUUACUGCGAAGGGGGGACGGAGAAGGCUAGGCUAGCCGGGCGACGGUUGUCCCGGUUUAAGCAUGUAGGCGGAGUGACUUGGUAAAUCCGGUUGCUUAUCAACGCUGAGGUGUGAUGACGAGCCACUACGGUGGUGAAGUAGUUGAUGCCAAGCUUCCAGGAAAAGCCUCUAAGCAUCAGGUAACAUUAAAUCGUACCCCAAACCGACACAGGUGGUCAGGUAGAGAAUACUCAGGCGCUUGAGAGAACUCGGGUGAAGGAACUAGGCAAAAUGGUGCCGUAACUUCGGGAGAAGGCACGCUGGCAUUAGGUAAAGGGACUUGCUCCCGGAGCUGAAGCCAGUCGCAGAUACCAGCUGGCUGCAACUGUUUAAUAAAAACACAGCACUGUGCAAACACGAAAGUGGACGUAUACGGUGUGACGCCUGCCCGGUGCUGGAAGGUUAAUUGAUGGGGUCAGCCGCAAGGCGAAGCUCUUGAUCGAAGCCCCAGUAAACGGCGGCCGUAACUAUAACGGUCCUAAGGUAGCGAAAUUCCUUGUCGGGUAAGUUCCGACCUGCACGAAUGGCGUAAUGAUGGCCAGGCUGUCUCCACCCGAGACUCAGUGAAAUUGAACUCGCUGUGAAGAUGCAGUGUACCCGCGGCAAGACGGAAAGACCCCGUGAACCUUUACUAUAGCUUGACACUGAACAUUGAGCCUUGAUGUGUAGGAUAGGUGGGAGGCAUUGAAGUGUGGACGCCAGUCUGCAUGGAGCCAACCUUGAAAUACCACCCUUUAAUGUUUGAUGUUCUAACUCGGCCCCAUAAUCUGGGGUGAGGACAGUGUCUGGUGGGUAGUUUGACUGGGGCGGUCUCCUCCCAAAGAGUAACGGAGGAGCACGAAGGUUAGCUAAUCACGGUCGGACAUCGUGAGGUUAGUGCAAAGGCAUAAGCUAGCUUGACUGCGAGAGUGACGGCUCGAGCAGGUACGAAAGUAGGUCUUAGUGAUCCGGUGGUUCUGAAUGGAAGGGCCAUCGCUCAACGGAUAAAAGGUACUCCGGGGAUAACAGGCUGAUACCGCCCAAGAGUUCAUAUCGACGGCGGUGUUUGGCACCUCGAUGUCGGCUCAUCACAUCCUGGGGCUGAAGUAGGUCCCAAGGGUAUGGCUGUUCGCCAUUUAAAGUGGUACGCGAGCUGGGUUUAGAACGUCGUGAGACAGUUCGGUCCCUAUCUGCCGUGGGCGUUGGAAGAUUGAGAGGGGCUGCUCCUAGUACGAGAGGACCGGAGUGGACGAAUCACUGGUGUUCGGGUUGUCAUGCCAAUGGCAUUGCCCGGUAGCUAAAUUCGGAAGAGAUAACCGCUGAAAGCAUCUAAGCGGGAAACUUGCCUCGAGAUGAGUCUUCCCUGGGGCUUUAAGUCCCCUGAAGGAACGUUAAAGACUAUGACGUUGAUAGGCUGGGUGUGUAAGUGCAGCGAUGCAUUGAGCUAACCAGUACUAAUGAUCCGUGAGGCUUAACCUU